UGUGAUAUAGCAAAGUGGUAGAGGGCUUGUUAGCAUGCAAAAUGCCCUGGGUUUGAUCCCCAGUAUCAUAA
rnacentral:tRNA from 1 species